rnacentral:rRNA from 1 species
UACGGAGGAUGCGAGCGUUAUCCGGAUUUAUUGGGUUUAAAGGGUGCGUAGGCGGCCGAGUAAGUCAGCGGUGAAAUUUUGUCAGCUUAACUGUAACAGUGCCGUUGAUACUGCAUGGCUAGGAUUUGGUUGCUGUGGGUGGAAUGUGUGGUGUAGCGGUGAAAUGCUUAGAUAUCACACAGAAUAUCAAUUGCGAAGGCAGCUCACAAAAGCCAAGAUUGACGCUGAGGCACGAAAGUGUGGGGAGUCAAACA